ACAGUUCAGUCAGUAGAACACAAGACUCUUAAUUUCGGGGUCAUGGGUUCGAGGCCCACGUUGGGCA